rnacentral:rRNA from 1 species
CGCCUUUUGAAAUAUAAACAUGAAAGGUCCUGCCUGCCCAAUGAAUUAUUUUUAAUGGCCGCGGUAUUAUGACCGUGCAAAGGUAGCGUAAUCAUUUGUCUUUUAAAUAAAGACCAGUAUGAAUGGCAAAACGAAAGCCCUACUGUCUCUCUAACCCAGUCAAUGAAAUUGAUCCCUCCGUGCAGAAGCGGAGAUAGAAGUAUAAGACGAGAAGACCCUGUGGAGCUUUAAUCUUAAGCUAACAGACACAAAUGCUUUAGUAUCCAGUUUUUGGUUGGGGCGACCAUGAGGUACAAAACAACCCUCACGAUUAUAAUUAAGAAAGACACUUCAAACAACUAAUAUAGUAUAUUGACCCAAUAUUUGAUCACGAACCAAGUUACCCCAGGGAUAACAGCGCAAUCCGCUCAAAGAGUCCCUAUCGACGAGCAGGUUUACGACCUCGAUGUUGGAUCAGGACCCCCAAGUAGCGCAACAGUUAUUAAAGGUUCGUUUGUUCAACGAUUAAAGUCCU